rnacentral:lncRNA from 1 species
ACUUGACCCGACCCGGCAUGGUCCAUUUGGGUUGCAUUUCAUCCGAACUAUUUAUGGAUAAUUUUAUGAGAGUUAUACACAUAUUAAUAUAUUAUAAGUUAUAAUAUAUUAAAAUGAAGUUAUGUUAUUUAAUUAGUCUUAGUCUUAAAUUAAUUAUGAAUUAAUUUAGAGAUUAAAAGGAAGACUAAUUAGAUUAUGGGCUAUUGGUUUUAUAUAGUGUGGGCUAAUACUCAUUUGUUAAUGGGCUAGGCUUAUAUGGAAGUCCAUGGAUGAUCCAUGGAGCUUUUAAUCCAUGGAUCCUUGGAAAGGAAAAGACAUGGGUUAUUAGGGUUUCACCCUAACCAUGCACACUAUAUAAGCAUGCUUAUGAUGCAUGAAAUGGCAACUAGUGAACUAGUGUGUGUGCUUGUGUGUGGCCGAAAUUUGGAAGUGUGUAUACUCUCUCAAAGUUUUCCAAGAGUUUGUGGUGAUUUGUGAUUCCAUUUGAGGCAUUCACACUAUUGGUGCUUGGCCCUCAAACUCCAAAGAAUCUAUCUCAUCAAAAAGGUAUGUAAUCUCUUCUAACUCUUUUAUGUUUAAAUGUUCCCCAUGCCAUGUUAGAUAGGUUAUGAACCUUGGAAAAUUAUUAUUUUGCAUGUAUUUAGACAAACAUAGAUCCAAGGUUUAUUAGGGUUGCAUGCACACUUAGGAAGUGUUAGAUUGCUCAAAACCCAACGGUGGUAUCAGAGCCUAGGCUUGCUUGUUUGAUACUUGAUGCAAAAUAGUUGAAAAAGUCUAAAAACUUGCUGUCUGGCUGAUGAACUCGCGGAGUCCAUGGGGGGACUCGCCGAGUCCAUGCCUAUCUUCAACCUACUCGCCGAGUAGGUUCAUGUACUCGACGAGUAGGAGCCACAGAGUGCAGAUGUUCGACUUUUGCUGCUGGAAAUGGACUAGAAACAUUACCCUAAAUUGUUUUGGUGUUUUAAAACUUAUUUUAGUUGGUGUAAUGGUUGUUCUAAUCCAUUUACAAUAGCAUAUAUCAAAAUUCCAUGAUUUUUAUGUGUUCAUAUAAUUCUUGAAAUUUUGAUGAUCAUGUUCAUGUUCUUAUGAAUUUAGAAGAUGAUAGGAAUUAUUUGCUGAAUUGUUUAGAAUUAAUUCUUGAUCAUUUAUGUUUUUUAAUGGAGUCCAUAAUUUUUCCUCAAGUUAUGGAUAUCCAAAGGUCACUUUCUUUAACACACACAUUUAAACACAUAAGUUACAUGAAAAUGAAGAGUCUUCAUUUUUAUGAACCUUUAAUUCAUAAGUUAUGAAAUGAAAAGUUUUGGAUAGUUACAAAACUUGCCCUCAAGUUUUGGAAUUUGUAAAGUUUCACACACUUUAAUAAACUUUAAUUCCAACCCUUAGAGUUUUAAAAGUUAAAAUUCAACACUUAUACUAUUUAUAACAUUAACGGUUAAAUAUUAUAUAUAUGUAUAAGAAUAAGUCGUUCUACCAUUAGUAGGCCUCAUUCACGAAGCCGGUCUAUAAGGUGGGUAUAAGGUUCUUUCCUAUAAAAUGGCGACUUAAUGGGUGUCCACUCUCACCCACCGCUUGCUUGAUCGGUGGAGGGUCGUUAGCCGAACGGGUAGGACAAUGACUUUAAAUUCUCAUUAAAAGUAUAAUGAUUAUUAUAAAGUAACUAAAAAUUUUUUAUUUAAUUCCCAAUCUUAGUUACUUUAGGAAAAAUGUGAAUUUGGUGCUAGCCCAUGGAAUUCACACUUUGUACCUUACCAAGUCGUUGGUGGAGCGUGUGUGGUUAACCGGCACACUAACUUGGACUAGUAAGGAUCACGAAGGGUGACUUAAUGUUUGUCAUAGAUCAAUGGAGCGUGUGUGGUUAACCGGCACAUUGAUUAGGUGAUAAUAUUAAGGGUACCAAGUGAAUUGGUAUGGUUAUUCACACCUUGUUUUGUGAUCCUCGGCAUCCCAGUCACAAAAUUUGAGAGGGCACACUCGAGAUUGAAACAUGCCAUUGAAAAGUUCAAUGAAUCUCAAAAGAUCUAGGAAUUUCAAAUCCAAUUAAAACCUAAUAAAUUAUUUCGUUUUUCAUGGUGGAAAUUGGUGAAUCGUCAUUCGCCUACCUUCAAAUAUUUUAUAGCUUGGAUUACGGCAUCCCUCUUCCAAAUUAUAAAAUAUUGUGUUGGGUCCUAGCCUUAAUAUUUCAUAUUGGGUGUUAUAUUAAGGACUUUGAAUCAACUAACUUGAUUUUCUCCCAUUAUAGAUGUCUGGUUCAGACAACUAUGAUCUUCCCAAAUCUCUUGAAGAUGGUGUCCCUCAACAUCAUGCUUCACUUCCUCCACCUCCUCCAAUUAUUCUCCCUCACCCACAAGUUCUUGAAAAGUUUAAAGUCACUCAAUCCCUAUUGGCAAGCAUAGUCUAUGUGUGCUCACAUCUUGGAGAUAAAGUCACAUAUUGACAAGCCGGGAGAGUUGGGUGUCAAAGUCUCGUGAAAGUUGGAUGUUCAAUCACUUUCUUAGUAACAUAGUGAGUCUCUUUGGGACUACUAUGAGACAGACUAUGACAUGACCCUUAAUGAUGUUAUCUAUUUGCUUGGUGUUGUGGAAUCAGCAAUGAUUUGGAACACCAGUAAAGCAAAUUUGAUUAAAAGAACAACUUCCCAAGUCUUAAAUGGACAUUGACAAUGGUAGCAUUGGAUAUCUAGAAAAGGAUUUCUCUUCCCAAUGGAAAGGGAUCGGCCAUAGUCAACUCGGUUGACCAAAUGGUAAAGAGAAAGGCUAAGUCUGAGAUAGUCUCAUGUGCCAUUACCAAAGGGUCCAUGUGUUUUGUUGCCAAAGGAAGGGGCAUUGGUUGCGAAGCUGCCCUAUUCACCUGAAAGGUCAUAAGGUUGAUCAAGUCAAGAGGUUUGACUCUACUUCGGGUAAAGUCCACUGUCUAACUCUAUUAAGUUCCUAUUUGGAGAUUCUUAUUACAUAAUGUGAAUGGGUCACAUGCUGAUGUUUUUAAGAAUCAAAGAAAAGAUAGGAAGCUUAAAGUAAGUAUAUGUUGAUUCUGAUUGCGAAGGUGGGUUUCGAUCGCAUGGUUCGGUAAUCAGAAUUUUGAGCUGUUGCUUAAGAGUUAUAAUAUAUUGCUUAUGAAUAGAUAACAACAAGGUUUUCAUGUGGAUUGUAAGGAUAAGUUUUUCCGCAAAGUUUUAAAAAAAAAAAAAAAAAGGGUUUUAAUUUUAUUUAUUUUAAAAAUAUCCUUACAAUGGCAUCUGUGGAAAAUUGUUGCUUAUAUGUUUCCAGUAAUAGCAAUAUUGGAAAGUGGAUUUGAUUCUUUCAUUUGUGGUAGUGUCUGAAUUUACCAAAUGAAGAAAGUUUUUCAUCACCCAAGUUUCAAUUGGACAGAAACUUGGAAUCAUACAAGUUGUAUUGUAUGAUGAAUGAGAAUUUUCAUCUUUGAAAAUUAAGACUAAUUCUUUGAUCACAUGUAUAUGUGAGUCAAUUGAAGGACUAAGGAAUUAGGUACACUGGGUGUGCGCUGGUCAAGGUCCACCACAAAGAUUGAUUUGUCAUGAUUUACUAAAGAUUAGUAAAUAUGAUUAUACUUAUGAGGUUAAGUAUAAUUCUGUAACAUUGGAAAGGUUACAAUGUAUGACAAAACAAAUGAGAAGAAUCAAAUUAGGCAGAAAGAUAAAAGUUUCUCAAAUCUGAAAGGAUGGGAGAGUACUUUAGUAUCGUAUUUCAUGAUCAUCUUAAUGAUUAUGAAACCAUAUCACAAAUUCAUACUCUAAGGACGUCUUAGUGCAUUGUUAUGGCUAAGAAGAGAGGUCAUGAAUUGUUGGAUUGGUUAAAAUCAAGAAGAUGAGUCAUACUUCGUUCCAAAACAAUUCUUAGAGUCAUACUCCAAGAUUGUAACUUUGAGUGACAUAAAGGAAGAUUUAUUAACACUAGUCAAAUGUAAGAGUAAAAUGUUUUCUACUCUUGUACAUUUGAGAUUGGUAAGUUGUGAUGUCUUGGAUGAGACAAAGACCAACUAAGACCAAUUGUGUGAAGUGUUAGUCUUGAUAAGAAUCCGCACUAUCCCUUGAAUAUUUGUUUUGUCAAGGAAUGGUUCUUGACUGGGGAAACUUAUAUGUCAAGGGGACAGUGGGAGCCUUAAAGAUCCUGAAAGAGUUUCAAGAUUUAAUCAAGAGUAAAACCUGUAAUUUAUCACUAGCACACGACUUAAGGUUUGCAACCUAUCGUGUUGACAUAAUUCUUAUUUCUGUACCUACUUCAAAUAAGUUGAAUUUGCAUGUGAGUUAUCAGAGUUCAACUUGGAAGCAUUGGUGGGCCUUGUGCUACCAAGGUGACAAGAAACUAAGAUUGAACAAGUUUAAUCCAUGUAAGGCUGAAUUUGUCACUAACCUUAUCUUGUGAUUAUGGUUUUGACAAAUUCACAUGGAUAGGAACUCAUACACUAUAAAAUCUAAGUGUCAUAAGGUUUCUCUCCGAUUCAUGAAAAUGAUGGUGAGGAAACGCUUUCACUAAGUAGAUUUUACGUAGAUAUCAAUUGUGUUAUUUGCAUUUUCAAAAGUCGUUAGUGGAGCGCGUGUGGUUAACCGGCACACUAACAUGGACUUGUGAGAAAUGGCAAAUGCCUAAGCAAUUGAGACUAUGAUUACGGCAUCCCUUUUCAUAGUUCUGAAAAUUGUUUAGACACACAUGUGAGCUAUCUAAGAAAGGGUGUAUGAAUCUAAAUUUCAGAAGUCCAGCAGAUUUCUGGAAAUAUGUCAGAGCUAGUGGGAGCAUAAGUGUUAUGCUGAUAAUCAUCAUGUUAGUGGGAGCAUGAUUAUUACGUUUAGUGUUGCAAGUUAGCAAUGUUAAUUAUAGAAAACAAAGUUUCAAUUCGUGAAGUUGCAGGGGUUGAAAAGUUGUUUUGCUAUAAUUAAGGGAGAGGAAAUUAUACUUCAUUUCAAUUCUAAAGCUUAGAUUGAGAUUUUAAUCAUCUUUAGUCAAGAAUAUAUAUAUGAAUUUUAUGUUGGAAUGGUUCAACUUGAAGAAAUUCUAUAUAUAUUGCGUUUUCAAAAUUCGAUUAUGAUUACGGCAUCCCUCUUCAUAGUUAAAUUUUGAAAACAUGGCAAAUAAAAAAUAUUGUAGCAAAAGACUGGUCUAGUAUCAUGUCUUUAUGUCAAACAUCAUGAAUCGUGUCCCAUAUGCUUCGGAUAUAGGAUCGAUUGCAUGUGCUAUAAUAUUCAUCUUUUCUAAAUUUUCCAAAUGCUUAAGGCAUUGAGAAGGGAAAAGUCUAGAACUGGAUAUGACUAAAGUGAUUAAGCAAUUGUCGAGGACAAUCUGAGGUUCGCCAAAGAUUGGUUGCUCAGGGAAAGUUGGAAGUAUGAUGUAAGUUGUCGGAAAGGACCAUAUUGACAUAUUCUGAAAAGAAGUAACUCUUGUUCGGAAGUGAUAGUCAAAAUGGGACUAUGGAAAUGUCUCCAUAGGUGGAAGUUAUUCAAUCUAUGUAAGAUUAGAAAACCUUAAUGCAAGAAGGAUGUUCAAAGCAAUGUACUUUGAAUAUGAGACUUCCGUUCCAUAGAAGUUGACCUUCUUUGGAAUACUCUGUAAUGACUGGUGACAAGGUUUUGGUGACUUUGUGCAUAAUCAUUACAAGAGGAACAUUGCAUAAAAGUUUAAAAUCUAACAGUUUUUUUGGUAAAUGAUAGGAAUCGGGGAUUCUCACAUUUACAAUAAGGAUUUGGGAUUGUGAAAUGAGUAUCAUUGGAAUCAUGUUCAAUUGAUCUACAUCACAAUGUAAGGAUCAUAGACAAACAUAGUGUGCAUACUUGGAGUAUGGCAUAACUAUUGUUUAGAAAAACAAAGUGUACAUGCUAGGAGCAUGGGACGACUGUUGUUUUUAUUCAAGUCUUAAGUUGAUUGUUUGAAACAUUAUACAAUGAAUAAUGUGUAAUCAAUAUGGUGAUAAAUAAAAGGUGGUUCUAUUUAUAUUCAAAAGGGUUCUGAGACCAUAUUGGAUUCGAUUAUUAUUGUGUUUCACUUUGCAUGUUUUGACUUCCAAAAUAGCUAGGUUAUUCUUUCCGAAUGACUAAGUUAUUUAAACACUCCACAGUCGUUCAUAUGUUGGAAGUAGGUAUGAAUCAAGACUGUCAUGAAUCGAGUUUGUAGAUGGCUAAAUGGGUUUAGUCAUAGCAAUGGUUGCUACAACAUUCAUGAGUGCUCAUAAGUUAUGAGUAUUGGAAUAAACCCACGCUCACUUGUAUCACUUCAUGGAAUUUAUCUCGAGUGAUCGUGAGACGGUAAUAUCAUAUAAAUCUUCAAACCUAGAGAUAUGAGUUGUUACCUAUGAGUUGGUUGUGCAUUGAUUGCACGUAAACGCAUCAGUAACUUGAUGUUAUAAAACGUGCCUUUGUGUACAAUUCAACAAGUAGUAGAACAAGCAUAUGAGUCGAAGUUUAUCUGUUCCUUCUAGAAAUAGAAGCGAUAUCUGGGCCCCUCGAUGAUUUUGUUGUGACCUAUGUACCGGCCGGUCAGAACUAAAUUGAUGUGUUCGAUUAAGUUCUUUGUCAAACAAAUCGAAAAUCGGGAAACAAACUGCUGGACAAUAAGUACGACAUUGUUCCAUGUAUUUGUCCGGCUGAUAUCAUGAGAACAGAGGAUUAUAUGAUCACUUAUCUAAAAUGGCGCUUCAUAGUUCAACAGAGUUUUCGAGAGCUACGAUUGCUGGUUGGUUCCUGAAGUAACAUACGCAAAUAUAGUUAUUAGACUUAUCCAAGUGGGAGUCUGUUGGAUAAGGUGUCUAAGUCCAUAACUUAUUUGGUAUAUACUUGACCCGACCCGGCAUGGUCCAUUUGGGUUGCAUUUCAUCCGAACUAUUUAUGGAUAAUUUUAUGAGAGUUAUACACAUAUGUUUAUUAAUAUAUUAUAAGUUAUAAUAUAUUAAUAUGAAGUUAUGUUAUUUAAUUAGUCUUAGUCUUAAAUUAAUUAUGAAUUAAUUUAGAGAUUAAAAGGAAGACUAAUUAGAUUAUGGGCUAUUGGUUUUAUAUAGUGUGGGCUAAUACUCAUUUGUUAAUGGGCUAGGCUUAUAUGGAAGUCCAUGGAUGAUCCAUGGAGCUUUUAACCCAUGGAUCCUUGGAAAGAAAAAGACAUGGGUUAUUAGGGUUUCACCCUAACCAUGCACACUAUAUAAGCAUGCUUAUGAUGCAUGAUAUGGCAACUAGUGAACUAGUGUGUGUGCUUGUGUGUGGCCGAAAUUUGGAAGUGUGUAUACUCUCUCAAAGUUUUCCAAGAGUUUGUGGUGAUUUGUGAUUCCAUUUGAGGCAUUCACACUAUUGGUGCUUGGCCCUAAAACUCCAAAGAAUCUAUCUCAUCAAAAAGGUAUGUAAUCUCUUCUAACUCUUUUAUGUUUAAAAGUUCCCCAUGCCAUGUUAGAUAGGGUAUAAACCUUGGAAAAAUUAUUAUUUUGCAUGUAUUUAGACAAACAUAGAUCCAAGGUUUAGUAGGGUUGCAUGCACACUUAGG